rnacentral:rRNA from 1 species
UACAGAGGGUGCGAGCGUUAAUCGGAAUUACUGGGCGUAAAGCGCGCGUAGGCGGCUUUGCAAGUCGGGUGUGAAAUCCCCAGCCUAACCUGGGAACUGCAUUCGAGACUGCAUGGCUAGAGUAUCGGAGAGGGAAGUGGAAUUUCAGGUGUAGCGGUGAAAUGCGUAGAUAUCAGGAGGAACACCAAUGGCGAAGGCAGCUCGCUGGGACGGUACUGACGCU